AUUGAACGCUGGCGGCAUGCCUUACACAUGCAAGUCGAACGGCAGCACGGGAGCAAUCCUGGUGGCGAGUGGCGAACGGGUGAGUAAAGUAUCGGAACGUGCCCAGUCGUGGGGGAUAACGUAGCGAAAGUUACGCUAAUACCGCAUACGAUCUAUGGAUGAAAGCGGGGGAUCGCAAGACCUCGCGCGAUUGGAGCGGCCGAUAUCAGUUUAGGUAGUUGGUGGGGUAAAGGCUCACCAAGCCGACGAUCUGUAGCUGGUCUGAGAGGACGACCAGCAAAACUGGGACUGAGACACGGCCCAGACUCCUACGGGAGGCAGCAGUGGGGAAUUUUGGACAAUGGGCGAAAGCCUGAUCCAGCCAUGCCGCGUGCAGGAUGAAGGCCUUCGGGUUGUAAACUGCUUUUGUACGGAACGAAAAGGUUUGGGCUAAUAAGCUGAGCUCAUGACGGUACCGUAGGAAUAAGCACCGGCUAACUACGUGCCAGCAGCCGCCGUAA
rnacentral:rRNA from 1 species